rnacentral:lncRNA from 1 species
AGCGUACCCGAAAGAAAAGAGGGAGUUCAAAGAGAGCUGGAAGAUGGAGGCAAACAGGAAGAAUGAAAUGGAAGUGUCAAGUUUUUAAACAGAAAACAAAGAAGCCUAUAACCUAAAAACCCACAAGCCUAAAGGAUCUAAGCAAAAAUAGCUGGACUGAGAAGGAGCUGGAUGGUUGCUGUUAACGUACAGAACUUGUGAGACUGCUACUUUUGUUAGGAUCUCACCUUCAGAAGUGGGAAGCAAGCUGUGGCAGCCAGGUUUGGAAACGUGGACUGAUAUGGCUCCAUAUGGAUUUGCCAGUUCACUGCAUCAUUGCACGUUUAUAACACAGCAUUUCUUCAGCAGCUGUCACUAUGUCACAGUGCCA